rnacentral:rRNA from 1 species
AGUGAACGCUGGCGGUAGGCCUAACACAUGCAAGUCGAACGGCAGCACAGUAAGAGCCUGCUCUUACGGGUGGCGAGUGGCGGACGAGUGAGGAAUACAUCGGAAUCUACUUUUUCGUGGGGGAUAACGUAGGGAAACUUACGCUAAUACCGCAUACGACCUACGGGUGAAAGCAGGGGAUCUUCGGACCUUGCGCGAUUGAAUGAGCCGAUGUCGGAUUAGCUAGUUGGCGGGGUAAAGGCCCACCAAGGCGACGAUCCGUAGCUGGUCUGAGAGGAUGAUCAGCCACACUGGAACUGAGACACGGUCCAGACUCCUACGGGAGGCAGCAGUGGGGAAUAUUGGACAAUGGGCGCAAGCCUGAUCCAGCCAUACCGCGUGGGUGAAGAAGGCCUUCGGGUUGUAAAGCCCUUUUGUUGGGAAAGAAAAGCAGCAGGUUAAUACCCCGCUGUUCUGACGGUACCCAAAGAAUAAGCACCGGCUAACUUCGU